UACAGAGGGUGCAAGCGUUAAUCGGAUUUACUGGGCGUAAAGCGUGCGUGGGCGGUUCGCUAAGUCGGUUGUGAAAUCCCUGGGCUUAACCUGGGAACUGCAGUCGAUACUGGCGGACUAGAGUACGGUAGAGGGUGGCGGAACUCCGGGUGUAGCGGUGAAAUGCGUAGAUAUCCGGAAGAACACCGAUGGCGAAGGCAACCACCUGGGCCUGUACUGACGCUGAGGUACGAAAGCGUGGGGAGCAAACAGG
rnacentral:rRNA from 1 species